rnacentral:rRNA from 1 species
CCUACGGGAGGCAGCAGUGGGGAAUAUUGGACAAUGGGCGAAAGCCUGAUCCAGCCAUGCCGCGUGUGUGAAGAAGGUCUUCGGAUUGUAAAGCACUUUAAGUUGGGAGGAAGGGCAGUAAGUUAAUACCUUGCUGUUUUGACGUCACCGACAGAAUAAGCACCGGCUAACUUCGUGCCAGCAGCCGCGGU